CGAGUUGGCCGGGCGGCCGCGGCUCGUAUCCCGAGUCGAGGAAAGUCCGGACUUCACAGAGCAGGGUGAUUGCUAACGGCAAUCCGAGGUGACUCGCGGGAAAGUGCCACAGAAAACAGACCGCCACCCUCGCGGUGGUAAGGGUGAAACGGUGCGGUAAGAGCGCACCAGCACCCCGGGUGACCGGGGUGGCUCGGCAAACCCCACCCGAAGCAAGGCCAAGAAGGCCGUGCCGCCGGCACGGCCGCGCAGGCGUCCGAGGGUUGCUCGCCCGAGCCUGCGGGUAGGCCGCUCGAGGCACCCGGUGACGG
rnacentral:RNase_P_RNA from 1 species